AACGAACGCUGGGCGGCGUGCCUAACACAUGCAAGUCGAACGCGAAAGUCCUUCGGGAUGAGUAAAGUGGCGCACGGGUGAGUAACACGUAGGUGACCUGCCUUUAGAGGGGAAUAACCAGAAGAAAUUUUGGCUAAUGCCGCAUACGAAGUACAAAUCUUAAAGUAGUACUUGAAAGGAUGCCUCUGUAUAUGCAUCCACUAAAAGAUGGGCCUGCGGGACAUUAGCUAGUUGGUGGGUAAAGGCCUACCAAGGCGACGAUGUCUAUCCGGUCUGAGAGGAUGAUCGGACACACUGGAACUGAGACACGGUCCAGACUCCUACGGGAGGCAGCAGUGGGGAAUAUUGCGCAAUGGGGGAAACCCUGACGCAGCAACGCCGCGUGAGUGAGGAAGGACUUCGGUCUGUAAAGCUCUGUUAAUGUGGAAAAAUGGCAUCGGGUCUAAUAGGCCUGGUGUUUGAUGGUACACAUAGAGGAAGCACCGGCUAACUUCGUG
rnacentral:rRNA from 1 species